rnacentral:tRNA from 1 species
GCCGGAUUCGUCUAACGGUAGGACGCGGAGCCCGUAACUCCGCUGUGGGGGUUCAAUUCCUUCAUCCGGCU